CUUUUACAACUCCAAGCUAUCUGAUUCGAUACAAGUUACACCGUACAUCAGACUAAUUCUCACCGGAUUUUAACCUUAUCUAGAAAAAAUGAAACCCUAAUUCAACCGAAUCUAACCUAAUACAUUAUAAUCUAACGAUAUACACUGCUGUGGCAAUCAGAAAACGAGUAACGUUGAAACAGUCUUGGGUGCAAUUUGAUCACUCGUGGAAUGGCGUUCCAGCUCGAGAGACCAUGGGUGUCGGUGUUGCUUGUGUAGUGGUCUCUUGCCUUGUGCUCGGAGCCAUAUAUAUAUAUUAGUGCCAAGUGUUUAGUUGUGAAGUGACUGAGAUCACCGGGGAGCCAUUUAAAAAAACCCUUGUAUGGUGAACCUGAUUAUGUUCACCGGUAGUUUUUGUGACGGAACUCGCGAACUGAUUUAUUAUGGUGUAAACAAACAGUUGAGAGUCUUCGUUUUAACAUUUCAUGCCCAAGAUGGCUGUUUGUGCUGCUUCUGACGUCACCCUCGAUCAGAGACAAAAGACGUCACAAUAACGUGGCUGAAAUGCUCGAUGGUCCUCCAUUGAUCUAGAGGGAAGAUGGAAGUCCUGACGGACAGCUAGAAGCCGGAGUGAGGCAACAAUCACUGUAUCCUUCAGCGCUCUCUACGAUUAAGGAGGAUGCUGCAACUGGAGAGAACGUGACAUAAUGGUUUUAGAAGAUCUGGUGGCAAUGAGAUGGGAACUCAUCAGAGGAGAAUCUCAUUGAUCUUGAUGCUGCAAGGAGCCAGAGGAAAGUGUGGUAGGGGUAGCUACAGCAACGGUCCGUUUGUCCUCGCCAAUCCAGAUAAAGCUGGAGGAACUCUCAAGACUGUUACCCACACUCAUGGGUGACUUGCAGGAAGUGGAAUGUUUGGCGGAGGGCGGCGUGUCGUUAUCCAGGCCAUGGAGGAAGAUCGGAAUUGAGAGGCAGGAAAUAGGAAUCUGCGACAGACCAGGCCUAAGGUGGACCCGAGCUGGUGUUGGAGGACAGUGCGGCCUAAAAUGUUUGAGUCUCUCCUCCUGACCGGGGCACCACGGGGAAGCUGGCGCCUACAGACGGUGGAGAUGAACUGCGAGUCUGGAGUGGCCGACGAUCUGGUCAUCCACGCUACCGUGCCUGUGCCUGGUCCAGGCACUGGGAGAUCCAGGUGUUGGCCUCUUGCAAUUUGGAUAUACA